rnacentral:rRNA from 1 species
UACGUAGGGGCAAGCGUUGUCCGGAUUUAUUGGGCGUAAAGAGCUCGUAGGCGGUUGGGCAAGUCACGUGUGAAAUCUCCACGCUCAACGUGGAGGCGCCACGUGAGACUGCCCUGACUCGAGUCCGGUAGGGGAGCGUGGAAUUCCGGUGUAGCGGUGAAAUGCGCAGAGAUCGGGAGGAACACCCGUAGCGAAGGCGGCGCUCUGGGCCGGUACUGACGCUGAGGAGCGAAAGCGUGGGGAGCAAACGGG